GGGGGCGAAACGGUUUCGACGGGGAUAAUUGAAGUUAGGGUUGCAUAUCGAGGUUCCGUCUGCUCGUAAAACAGGUGGGAAAAAAGUAAGCGCAGACGAUUAUGCGUAUGCUCUAGCCGCAUAAAUGGCUAGCAUCCUCUUGGCCUUUGCCUGCGUGGCUGAGUAAGGAUGUCGAUCAGCGGGCUAGCCGAUCCACUCUACCUGUGAUAUGGAUGGGUUAAAAAAGAUACAGGUCAGCUCCUUGGUAGUCUCGCCCGAUAGCGAACCCUGGAGCUAAAUUCAGCCAUCGGGAUAAGUAUGUAGAUGCCUUAGCGGAAUAUUUUCGGACGCGGGUUCGACUCCCGCCGCCUCCACCA
rnacentral:tmRNA from 1 species